ACCUGUUGACCGGGUGAAAUGGUUAAAUUAAAUACGAUUACCGGUAUUUGGGACUUAAUUGAAUAAAAAAAAUAUAUAUAGGGACUAAAUCGAUUAUGAGGCCAAUAUCUGGGGACUUUAUUGUAGUUUUCCUAUAUAUAUAUAUAUGACUUGAAUGCGUGCUUAAAUAAUGCAUCUGGACUAUUUACCAAUUUUUAAUGUGGUUUGGUUUUAUUACUCAGCGAUUAGAAAGAAUAAACAUCACCUGUUCUUGAGGGCACCAACUAGUCACCAUGCCUCUCCCUUUUGUCUCGUCAACAAACUCUGGUGGCAUCAUGGCCUCAUUGCCUCCGACAAUGUCGGGCCUUGUAAUCCACAAGAAAUCUUUCUUGCUAUUCGCCAGUCCCCACCCAAACUCGAUGAGUUGUUCUUUUGUCAUGACUGUAAUGCUUCCAAAGUUAACGUAAACAACUGAGCCAGGGUCUUUUGUGUCAAGCCAACUGAUGCAACUCUCAU
rnacentral:lncRNA from 1 species